rnacentral:misc_RNA from 1 species
GAUGAAGAACGUAGCGAAAUGCGAUAAGUAAUGUGAAUUGCAGAAUUCAGUGAAUCAUCGAAUCUUUGAACGCACAUUGCGCCCGCUAGUAUUCUGGCGGGCAUGCCUGUCCGAGCGUCAUUUCAACCCUCAAGCCCCCGGGCUUGGUGUUGGGGAUCGGCGAGCCUCCGCGCCCGCCGUCCCCUAAAUCUAGUGGCGGUCUCGCUGUAGCUUCCUCUGCGUAGUAGCACACCUCGCACUGGGAAACAGCGCGGCCACGCCGUCAAACCCCCAACUUCUGAACGUUUCACCUCGGAUCAGGUAGGAAUACCCGCUGAACUUAAGCAUAUCAAUAAGCGGAGGA